rnacentral:lncRNA from 1 species
UCUUUCCAGAUCUUCAGAACACUAUGACAGCCUUGAAAUCCACAGAAAAUCCGACCGGCAUGUUUGAAGCUUCAAAACUCCAACUUCCUUUGCUCAGAUGGAAACACUUCUUCAUUGAACGUUGUUCCUCUGCCCAGUAUCUAUAACAUACCAAAAUUUUAGAAAGAGACAACGGUGCAAUUGUCCUAGAUGCGUGAAAAACCAACCCAGCCUCCAUUUUCCAUGGCUCAGAUCGAGAAAGAUCCUUCACGAAAGUUGUUCUUCUAAUUGAGAACUAUAACAUGUCCAAAGUUCAGCUCCAUUAGAGAAGAGAAGAGGUAGCAGAAAUUUGAUAGAAGAAGGGAGACGGAAGAGGGAGAGAGAGUGAGUUGUGAGAGUUAGGGCUGGUUUGAUAUUGCUGUGCUUUGAAAAAAAACUGCUGUGAGAAUAAGCGGCUGUGUUGUGAAAAUA